ensembl:lncRNA
AUGACGGCAGACAUCAGUAAUCGCCACAGCGCUGGCCUUAUUUAUAGUCCACUUCCAAUCUGUUGGCAAAUCCUGUUGGCUAAGAUCUUCAGAAACAUCUGGAAUCUGACCACAUCUUACCACUCCAGUUGCUGUCCUUCUGGCCCAGUUCACUGUCAGCUCUUACAUGGAUUAUUGCAAGAGUCUUUCUUGAUGUGAACUUGCUCACCUUCAGCCUAUUGUUCAUAUAGUUGCCACAGUGACCUUGUAAAAGGUAAGUCAAAUCGUGUCAUUCUUCAGCUUACAAUUAUUUCACUUAUAGCAAAAGGCAACAUUCUUCUAAUCAUAUGCAAGUUUCUGCAGAUCUGGCCUCAUUACGCUAAACUUCCACCACAAAGCCUUGGCCUUGCUAUUCCCUCUGUGCAAAACACACUUCCCUACACAUCUACAGUGCUUGAUCCUUUACCUCUUUGAGGUCUUUUCUAGCUGCACUAUCUAAAUUGCCCACCAUCCCUACACAUACAACUAACCCCUUCUCUACUUUAUUUUUUUUCUACAACAUUUAUAUAGUCCAGCAUAGGCUAUGUUUAACUUCGCUGUCUUUUUAAUUGUUUCCUUUCUGCUAGGAUGUGAGCAACAAGAAGGCAGGGAUUUUUGCUAUGUUGUUUGUUAUUGAAUCCCCAGCAAAGGGAAUGGCACAUAAAAGAAAUGCCUGGCACAUAGGAGAAACAAGCAAACAAAAAAAUGUUUAAAUAAUGAAUGAAUAGAAAGGACUGAGCCAUAAGAAUUCAGCACAAACUGAAAGGGGCAUGGAGCUCAACACAGCCCCUGAUGUAUAGGCAACCUAAGCAGUUUCAGUCAGGUGCUGUGGAGUGUGUGCACCAGUUCACAGCCCAGCAUGUUCAUUCCUCAGAGAAUCCCCCCAGUAUCCCAGUGUGGUGUUCCUAUGCCCCAGGAGAAAAUGUAGUAACUCUCAGAAACUUGAUAGAUCAUCAACCAUGAAAGUAGUUGUAAUCAGCUGUGUAAAUCCAGAACCUAAGUCCUGAUUCCAUUAGCUUUGUGAUGGCACACAAUUGCAAAAUAAACAUAUGAAAUAAAAAGGAAAAGAAGAAUUUGGCUGUCUUUUCUUCUUUUUUUUUUUUUUGAGACGGAGUUUCGCUCUUGUUACCCAGGCUGGAGUGCAAUGGCGUGAUCUCAGCUCACUGCAACCUCCGCCUCCUGGGUUCAGGCAAUUCUCCUGCCUCAGCCUCCUGAGUAGCUGGGAUUACAGGCACGCGCCACCAUGCCCAGCUAAUUUUUUGCAUUAUUAGUAGAGAUGGUGUUUCACCAUGUUGACCAGGAUGGUCUCGAUCUCUUGACCUCGUGAUCCACCCGCCUCGGCCUCCCAAAGUGCUGGGAUUACAGGCUUGAGCCACCGCGCCUGGCCUGGCUGUCUUUUCACAGAAGCAUCUCUUAUUGCCCUGUUAUGGCAUAUCACCUAUGCCACACAAUCCCUCCUCAUAUGUCACUCUCCAGUUUUGGAAGACAUUUCAGCCUACCAAAAAGAGAAUGGACUCCAGAAUCAAAGAGACUUAGUUUCACAUUGUGGUCACGCUAUUUGCUAGCCACAAAAUCUUGGUGGAUUUAUUUAACUCUUCUUCUCUUCAAUGCUUAUUUGUAGUAUGGCAGAAUAAAACAUACUUAAUAGUAUGCAGUAUGUACUUCACAGUAUGAAGUAGUACCC